rnacentral:rRNA from 1 species
AAACCAGCACCUCAAGUGGUCAGGAUGAUUAUUGGGCCUAAAGCAUCCGUAGCCGGCUCUGUAAGUUUUCGGUUAAAUCUGUACGCUUAACGUACAGGCUGCCGGGAAUACUGCAGAGCUAGGGAGUGGGAGAGGUAGACGGUACUCGGGAGGAAGUGGUAAAAUGCUUUGAUCUCUCGAUGACCACCUGUGGCGAAGGCGGUCUACCAGAACACGUCCGACGGUGAGGGAUGAAAGCUGGGGGAGCAAACCGGAUUAGAAACCCUGGUAGUCC